GAGCUUGCUCCUUUGACGUUAGCGGCGGACGGGUGAGUAACACGUGGAUAACCUACCUAUAAGACUGGGAUAACUUCGGGAAACCGGAGCUAAUACCGGAUAACAUAUUGAACCGCAUGGUUCAAUAGUGAAAGGCGGCUUUGCUGUCACUUAUAGAUGGAUCCGCGCCGUAUUAGCUAGUUGGUAAGGUAACGGCUUACCAAGGCAACGAUACGUAGCCGACCUGAGAGGGUGAUCGGCCACACUGGAACUGAGACACGGUCCAGACUCCUACGGGAGGCAGCAGUAGGGAAUCUUCCGCAAUGGGCGAAAGCCUGACGGAGCAACGCCGCGUGAGUGAUGAAGGUCUUCGGAUCGUAAAACUCUGUUAUCAGGGAAGAACAAAUGUGUAAGUAACUGUGCACAUCUUGACGGUACCUGAUCAGAAAGCCACGGCUAACUACGUGCCAGCAGCCGCGGUAAUACGUAGGUGGCAAGCGUUAUCCGGAAUUAUUGGGCGUAAAGCGCGCGUAGGCGGUUUUUUAAGUCUGAUGUGAAAGCCCACGGCUCAACCGUGGAGGGUCAUUGGAAACUGGAAAACUUGAGUGCAGAAGAGGAAAGUGGAAUUCCAUGGGUAGGGG
rnacentral:rRNA from 1 species